CACGUAGGGCGCAAGCGUUGUCCGGAAUUAUUGGGCGUAAAGAGCUCGUAGGCGGCUUGUCGCGUCGGCUGUGAAAGCCCGGGGCUUAACCCCGGGUCGGCAGUGGAUACGGGCAGGCUAGAGGUAGGUAGGGGAGAAUGGAAUUCCCGGUGUAGCGGUGAAAUGCGCAGAUAUCGGGAGGAACACCGGUGGCGAAGGCGGUUCUCUGGGCCUUACCUGACGCUGAGGAGCGAAAGCGUGGGGAGCGAACAGG
rnacentral:rRNA from 1 species